rnacentral:rRNA from 1 species
CUGGUUGAUCCUGCCAGAGGUUACUGCUAUCGAGGUUCGACUAAGCCAUGCGAGUCGAAUGUAGCAAUACAUGGCGAACUGCUCAGUAACACGUGGACAACCUGCCCUUAGGUUGGGUAUAAACCCGGGAAACUGGGUAUAAUACCCGAUAGGUCUCGAUUGCUGGAAUGCAUCGAGAUUUAAAGCUCCGGCGCCUAAGGAUGGGUCUGCGGCCUAUCAGGUAGUAGUGGGUGUAGCGUACCUACUAGCCUACGACGGGUACGGGUUGUGAGAGCAAGAGCCCGGAGAUGGAUUCUGAGACACGAAUCCAGGCCCUACGGGGUGCAGCAGGCGCGAAAACUUUACAAUGCUGGCAACAGCGAUAAGGGAACCUCGAGUGCCAGGUUACAAAUCUGGCUGUCGAGAUGCCUAAAAAGCAUUUCAUAGCAAGGGCCGGGCAAGACCGGUGCCAGCCGCCGCGGUAACACCGGCGGCUCGAGUGGUAACCGUUAUUAUUGGGUCUAAAGGGUCUGUAGCCGGCCGGAUAAGUCUCUUGAGAAAUCUGGCAGCUUAACUGUCAGGCUUUCAGGAGAUACUGUCUGGCUCGAGGCCGGGAGAGGUGAGAGGUACUUCAGGGGUAGGGGUGAAAUCUUGUAAUCCUUGAAGGACCACCAGUGGCGAAGGCGUCUCACCAGAACGGACCUGACGGCAAGGGACGAAAGCUAGGGGCACGAACCGGAUUAGAUACCCGGGUAGUCCUAGCCGUAAACGAUACUCGCUAGGUGUCGGCCACGGUGCGACCGUUGUCGGUGCCGUAGGGAAGCCGUGAAGCGAGCCACCUGGGAAGUACGGCCGCAAGGCUGAAACUUAAAGGAAUUGGCGGGGGAGCACCACAACGGGUGGAGCUUGCGGUUUAAUUGGAUUCAACGCCGGGG